rnacentral:tRNA from 1 species
AGUUAAUAAGCUGCAUUUAAGCGUAUGUUUUGAAAACAUAAAUCUAGAAGUUCAACCCUUCUAUUAACUU